GACGAGGUGAGUAACACGUGGGUGAUCUGCCCUGCACUCUGGGAUAAGCCUGGGAAACUUGGGUCUAAUACCGGAUAGGACCAUGCUUUAGUGUGUGUGGUGGAAAGUUUUUUCGGUGUAGGAUGAGCCCGCGGCCUAUCAGCUUGUUGGUGGGGUAACGGCCUACCAAGGCGGCGACGGGUAGCCGGACUGAGAGGUUGGUCGGCCACAUUGGGACUGAGAUACGGCCCAG
rnacentral:rRNA from 1 species